GUGGCGAACGGGUGAGUAAUGUAUCGGAACGUACCAUUCAGUGGGGGAUAACGUAGCGAAAGUUACGCUAAUACCGCAUAUUCUGUGCGCAGGAAAGCAGGGGAUCGCAAGACCUUGCGCUGAUUGAGCGGCCGAUAUCAGAUUAGCUAGUUGGUGGGGUAAAAGCUCACCAAGGCGACGAUCUGUAGCGGGUCUGAGAGGAUGAUCCGCCACACUGGAACUGAGACACGGUCCAGACUCCUACGGGAGGCAGCAGUGGGGAAUUUUGGACAAUGGGGGCAACCCUGAUCCAGCCAUGCCGCGUGAGUGAAGAAGGCCUUCGGGUUGUAAAGCUCUUUCGGCCGGGAAAAAACCGCAUGGGUUAAUACCCUGUGUGGAUGAUGGUACCGGAAUAAGAAGCACCGGCUAACUACGUGCCAGCAGCCGCGGUAAUACGUAGGGUGCGAGCGUUAAUCGGAAUUACUGGGCGUAAAGCGUGCGCAGGCGGUUUUGUAAGACAGGCGUGAAAUCCCCGGGCUCAACCUGGGAACUGCGCUUGUGACUGCAAGGCUAGAGUAUGGCAGAGGGGGGUGGAAUUCCACGUGUAGCAGUGAAAUGCGUAGAGAUGUGGAGGAACACCAAUGGCGAAGGCAGCCCCCUGGGCCAAUACUGACGCUCAUGCACGAAAGCGUGGGUAGCAAACAGGAUUAGAUACCCUGGUAGUCCACGCCCUAAACGAUGUCAACUAGGUGUUGGGAGGGUAAAACCUUUUAGUACCGGAGCUAACGCGUGAAGUUGACCGCCUGGGGAGUACGGCCGCAAGGUUAAAACUCAAAGGAAUUGACGGGACCCGCACAAGCGGUGGAUGAUGUGGAUUAAUUCGAUGCAACGCGAAAAACCUUACCUACCCUUGACAUGUCCAGGAGCCUGAAGAGAUUUGGGUGUGCCCGAAAGGGAACUGGAACACAGGUGCUGCAUGGCUGUCGUCAGCUCGUGUCGUGAGAUGUUGGGUUAAGUCCCGCAACGAGCGCAACCCUUGUCGUUAAUUGCCAUCAUUCAGUUGGGCACUUUAACGAGACUGCCGGUGACAAACCGGAGGAAGGUGGGGAUGACGUCAAGUCCUCAUGGCCCUUAUGGGUAGGGCUUCACACGUCAUACAAUGGUCGGUACAAAGGGUUGCCAACCCGCGAGGGGGAGCCAAUCCCAGAAAGCCGAUCGCAGUCCGGAUUGCAGGCUGCAACUCGCCUGCAUGAAGUCGGAAUCGCUAGUAAUCGUGGAUCAGCAUGUCACGGUGAAUACGUUCCCGGGUCUUGUACACACCGCCCGUCACACCAUGGGAGCGGGUUCCGCCAGAAGUAGGUAGCCUAACCGCAAGGGGGGCGCUUACCACGGCGGGGUUCGUGACUGGGGUGAAGUCGGAACAAGGUA
rnacentral:rRNA from 1 species